AUAUGGCCAGGUCAAUGCCGCUAACGCCUAGGACCCCAAGCACUCACGUACGUGACUUCGUAAGUGAACGAAAAAGCAAGACCUUAAGUCUAACUGGCUUUCCAAAUCACAAAGGACUUAAGGUUUGCUCUGUAAAGGGGAGAAAUACAGUGAAUUUAUCCAAGUUUGCUUACGCCCCUAAGCCUCAGUAUGGACCGCAUGAUGACAGAUGCAGUGGCCCUUCUGAGCUGCUGUCGCCACAAGGCCAGUUGGAUGUGUUUGCUGAUGACAAGAGUGUGAAUUACAUGUCGGAGUCCAGAGAGUUACCAAGUGGAGUGGCCAAACUACUAUCUCCCUUGAGCGUCACUGAUGUUCCAGUUCCAGCAUUUCUAAAUCAAGCCGACAGCGGAGUCGACAAGAGGGAUAACAACCAUAGGAAGAGAUCUUAUGACAGAUGCUCAGGACUGGAUGUGCAGUGGAAUCGCCAGGAGCAAUGUGAGCAAGCUGUUCCCCCCUGUGUCGCACAAGCCAAUCAACCUCUGCUGACAAAUCCUGAGCAGGUGGCAUGCAGUGAGAAAUCCUACGGUGAUUCCAAAAGUCGCAUGUUUUUUUCUCCAAGCUCCACUUGUGUACAACAAAAGGAGGAUGACGAGGACGCUAUGAAGAACUUUCUAAAUAUAUUUAGUGGGAUUUUCUGAGUUGGUAAAUUGGUUAUGAAACGUCUGACCGAGGUGUUCUCGUAAAAUUGCGUCACUUAUAUUAUAUUAACGGAUGGUCUUCAUCAUAACAUAAUUUCCUUGCCUGCAAUAAUGUUUUAACAAUGUAGGUUAUCUAAUAAAAACAUUUCACGGUUGGUGUUGUAUAUUUAAUGCUCUGAUCGUAUUACCAGUUUCAGUAAAUGUUCAAGAGAUGUAAUGUUUCACAGUUGUGAAAAUAAA